ACAUUACUAGCGUUAUUAGCCGAGAGACGAUAUAAGUGAAGGUCCGGUGGUGCCGGGCUGCAGUAACGGGUCGCCUCCUGCACUGACCCUCUGCACGACUUUCUUUUCGACCCCUUUUUCUCGUUCACACUAUCAAGAAUUUCGUGUCCUGUGUCAUCUAUCCGUAUCUAAAUCAUAGAAACGCGUUCAUUCUGCAUAAUUGCUACGUUUGUCGUUGUUUACGAAAUCAUUUUUUAGGUUAGUUUUGUGAAACUUUGUGGAAGGUGAAGUCUCUCGGAAGAAACAGACGAUUCUCGAUGUACACGAGGUCUGACGGACGAUGUUGCCCGAUCCUGGCCGAGCCGUAACGCUACCCUGACUGUGCAACAGGAAACACGUGCGCCCGGUGAAAGUGACAGUUCGGAGCGCGCCAAAUUUGAAACGAAGAUCGAAGAAUCGCGUUGUUCGUGUGAGUAAAAUGUUCUUAUAAGUGUGUAGUGAUUGUUGAAGAAUUCUUUGUUGGACGUUGUGUAUGAUAAAAAUAAGUACAUAUCUUAAUUUGAAACUGAUAUGGUUCGUUGUAAGUUACAUAUUGAACUAUCUUUUUAUGAUAAAGCAUACUUGUAUCUUGAAUUCAAGUGAUAUGAUUUAAUCUAAGCCAUGAAGUUAUGAUUCUUUUAUCUUGUUGAGAUUUCUUGUAUAUCAUUCACUAACAAUAUUUUACAUGUAUAAAUUCCUUAAGUGCUAAUUUUAUCAAGAUUUUAUAUGAAGAUAUUAUAAUUUUUAUAUAAUAAAAGACUUUCUAUAUGUAAAUUGUAUUUAAUAUUCACAAGUUAGUUAAAAAUCUUCUACCAAACUUCUACUAUUAUUAUUUCUUACAAUAUUAAAUUUGGAUAUUUUUAAUAUACCACUAAAUUUUCGUUAAAAAAUGUUAUAUUGUAAUGUAUUGUAAUGUAUUAAAUGUAACAUUGAACAAACUGAGAAAGACUUGAUAUCGAAGUGGGGGAUAUCAGCGGUUAAAGAAAGAGAAGAUAGACUAAUUAUCUCCCACCAACCACUUCGAAGCGACAAGAGAGGGGAAUAGACCUGGAGGAAAGAUAAGAACGAAAUGGACACGAUACGUUCCGUCCCCACCACUUCUACCAGCAGAAUAGAAGGAGUUUCUCGGCUCCACCUCUUCCCCUUCCGAUAAUACCCUCCUUCAACGGUGGAUGACGAUUUGACUCUGACUUACUGUACUUAGAUCAGAACAGACUAGUAUAAUCCACGUAUAUACAUAUAUAAUGUACACAAGCUUUUACAUAUAUGGAGAACGCAACGAGCUGAUAACAAGCAGACAAAGGGAAACAGUCUCUCUUGUUGAGAAGUAUAUUUAGAUCGAACGACACAGGGAAACGAGGUGAAGAGGAGGGUUUGGAAGCGACUUUUUGCACGCGAGCCGCUCUUUUUUACGUCGUAGGUAUGCCGACCGGAUAGUAUUGCCGUGUGGCCAGGCUGGCAGGGCCGACCAAUUGAGCCUGUUAACGUCAAUUGAGCUGAAUUAGUUCAAUUGGACGUAAUUGCGCGAAGGCGACGGGGAACCUUCGCUCUCUGUUCGCCAGCCAUGCUCGCGUUUCUCUUUUCGCGCCGAUAUCGCCGUAUUCACAGGACUUCCUUCAAAGUACAGUCCAAACAUAAGUUCGAUAUAAUCGAGGAACGUUGUACAAGACUGAUUUCGUACAUAGAUUGUUUAAAACACUGGUUUUAUAUGGGGAUAAUAUUUGGGCAUGCAGUUUUUUUGGGACGUAGUUUUCUAACUAUUUUAGGUAAAACGUUAUUUUAUCUGGAUUUACCAUGUUUCUCUAGAGCCGUUAAAUUGUAAUCUCGUAGAAUUAGUUGUUUAAUUUCUCACUAAAUGAUCUCAGAUAAAAUCGAAUAUCAAAGAUAAAAUAGGUUUGAUGCCGUUUAACGCGAUUCUUAUGUCGAAGCGUUUAAACUUCAUAAUUAUAGUAGAUAAUUCUUGACUGCAAUAUUAACGCGGUUGUGCUAUGUAUAGCUAUAAUAUCUACUAUAUUAUCAAACAACAAAUCAAACAUACAAAGCAAUAGGUAUGAUCUCAGAUAAAAUCGAAUAUCAAAGAUAAAAUAUGUUUGAUGCCGUUUAACGCGAUUCUUAUGUCGAAGCGUUUAAACUUCAUAAUUAUAGUAGAUAAUUCUUGGCUGCAAUAUUAACGCGAUUAUGCUAUGUAUGGCUAUAAUAUCUACUAUAUUAUCAAACGACAAAUCAAACAUACAAAACAAUAGGUAUCUUCAUCAUAAAAAUGAUAAAAAAUUCACUACUUGACAAACCAUUUCAUCGCUUCUACAAAAAUGAACGAAAAAUGAAAAAAAGCAGCCCUUAUAUCGGUCAGAAAAAUUCCACCCUCUUUAUGUUCUCUGAGCUUCCCCCGAGUAAAACAAAUUACAACGUCACCGGUACCAGGAUAAUGGCCAUCAGAGGAGGCAAUUAUGACAGCCGUGACCCAAGAAUUAACGUGCCCACAUGAGCGUCGCGAGAUUCCCGAUCGAGAUCACAAUAAACGUUCUUUUCUCGCUUUUUUCCCUUUUUUUUCACCCCCAUGGAACGUUGGCGAACAAGCAACAGUCAUUGAUAUUAGUCACUUUAUAUCAUGCUGGUAUAUUUCACGGGUCAAAGCGUAGAGAGAUGGCCAACGACGAAGACUUUUUUUUAUAUGUGCUAUACGUAUUUUGAGGAGAAAUACUGCUGGUCGAUCCCCAUCCUCGAUCGGACACAAAGAGCUUGGAUAUUUUCGAUAUACGCGCACUGUCUAUUCAAUGGUUGCUGCGAUUCUACCUGAGAUUCGAUUCAUACAGAAGAUGAAUUCCUCGUUUGAAAUAUGCUGGAUGCGACCACGUGGCUUGAGUGCAUGCAACAGGUGUAUAUCGCUCGUAGGAGGCUACCUGUUGAGUAGAUGUAAAUUAAGGCUUUCAAUAACUACAUUGUCCAGAAGUUAUACCCGUUAACUUUGUAAAUUAAAAGGAAGAAAAGACGUGCGUUGGAUGUUGCAAUUUUUAUGAAAUCUCUUCCGAAUUUUUCGCUUAUUUAUCUCAUCUUCUCGCAAUACCGGGAUAAGCUCACACUGGAGGCAGAUGUAAUUUGUUUCCUCGAGAAGUACAGUGGUAAUCACGUGGCCGAGCAAUGAAAUGUAGAUCAGUCAGAGAUGUAGAGUUAAUGAAGUAGAGUAACGCGCGAAUGAAGAAUGUAAAAUACAGCUGAAUUAGGAUGUGGU